UGCAUUCUUCCUUUUCACUUCUUGGUUUUUAAAAAAAACUAGAAGUAGUUGUUAGUGUGAGGGAAGUGAAUGAUGAGACAUGUACCCAGUAGUCACCCUGCAAGAAUCAGGGUGGUGGUGACUUUAAAGGAUUUCCUGAUACUUCCCAUUUUUUGUCACCUAUUUUUUUUUUUUAAAUCUUUAAGUGAGUUUAAGAAAUAACCUCUGAAAGCUACUUUGUCUUGUCUCUUGCUUUUUCUCUUGACAGUUCCUAAUCACAAGACUUGGAAGAAACUUAGCUCACACAUCAAUGAUUCUGCAUUCAACAUCACAACCUGAAGCCUGCAAUGUUUUCUUGCCUUUACCCCCCAGCUGGGGGCGCUGCCGUGCAAAGAAAUAUACCAUCUCUUCAGCGGAGUCCAUCAAAUUUUGUUUCCUGUGGCAACAGGUAUGACCUUUGGCCCUGCACGUGUCCAAUCCAAAUGCCAGUUCAGUGGACCAGAAAAGGCAAAACACUGAAAUGGUCCUGGCAUUUGCAGAAUUGCUUCUCUCCUUUUGUGGCGUCUCUCAUUCUCUGUAGUCGGAACUGUUUGUGGCUAGAAAGGAAAGCGACUGAUGCAUCUUAGUCAGACCCGUGGCCUUCUAUCGGCGGUUUCACACUUCAAACACACGUCAAGUGUUUCUCCAUCCCUCUCCUCCAGCUGAAAGUUUGUCACUCAUCUCCUGCAGCCUCUCAGCGACUCGAGGCCAAGUGAGUCAGAGCCGCGCAGACCUGAGGAAAGCUGCUCAACUCAACUGGGCAAAGUGGAGCAGAACCGAGAGGUGAAGGGAGGAUGUGAGUAGAGAGUCGGCUCAUAAUGGAGGGACAUGGUUUGGGGGUUUGACCCACAUGUCAGGAAACAAGACGUCUCCUAGGUGACAAAGUUAUGCGGAAAGUGGCAGAGGGUUGACAGGAAGGAAGAUGGAUGGCAACAAUAUGAGGCUGUGGGUUAAAAAUGGAACCUAAUGACUUGUCAGGCCUCAUGCUUGACCAUAAUGAGUGACCGCACAGUGUGUGCGCUGUGACAGACACUCACCGUGGCAGGAACAAGCGAGCGAAUCUGCAGAUGCACUUGACCCCCUGCCGAGCUGCUGUGCAGUUCCUGUUCUCUCUCUCUGACGUCGUGCCUCGUUUCUGCGUAACAGCACCACUGACGCCUCCUCCCGGACCUUCCAGGAAGACAGAUGGACAUCACCAGAUUAUAGAUGUCACACCACAGUGAUUAACACUCUCUGAAUUGACUCCUGGAGCUGCUUUAUUUAUAUAUAAUUACCCGGCAUCAUCACCUGUGUGUAGAUACACCCGUCUGUCUGGAUAACAAGAGUUGGACAACCUCAGAAACACUGAAGCCCAUCAGUAUUUUCCAACAUUGAAGUUCACUUGUGUACUUAUGGGUACUUCUUGAAAAAGCUUGUGUUGCUCACACAUUAUGGGACCGACAGAGAUGUAAGGUCUGGCCCUUUAAUGAGAGCAGAACAGACACAUUAACCUUUUCAGAGGCUGUAGCCUGACUUGGUCUCAGCGCUGCUGAAGAGUCCCAGACUGCUGUAUCGAUCUCAUUAUUUUGUAAAAGGAAGUUGUUAACAGUGUGAGCCUUUGGAGUGUUGGAGUGACAUUCAGAUAUUUCCCUGAAGAUACUGUCUCCAUUUUAAUGAUCUUUCUUUUUUUUUCUUCCCCAUUUAUCUUUUAUUUAAUUUGAUUGUUCGUCUUUGUAAGUAAUUUGUUAAUGGAAAGACCAAUAAUCAAUAAUUUUGAAGUUUACUGUUAUUAGUUUGUGGAGACACGUUGGUUAUUAGCUUCAUUUAUUUAAUUUUCCUGUGUGUUUUUGUUAUUUUUUAACAGGAUUACACAAAAAAUGCUGAAUCACUUUUCACCAAACCUGAAUGAGGAAUGGAGCACUGGUCUGGACAGAACCCAUUCCAUUUUCUUCCCUCUAACAAUGUAGCAUAAGACGGUUUUUAAUGUUACACACAGUAAUGGAAAUGAUUUUUGGGUGUUUUUAUUUGUAUAAACUACUGUGGAUCCAAAUAAAGAUUUCAAUCAGGCACAUUUUAAUGUCUGUCAUUAAACUGGCAGAUAAAUGAAUCUUGAAAAUAUUUGCUAAAAGCCAAAUGCUACAUAUU